GAUGAACGCUGGCGGCGUGCCUAAUACAUGCAAGUCGAGCGGAUUGAUGGGAGCUUGCUCCCUGAUAUCAGCGGCGGACGGGUGAGUAACACGUGGGCAACCUGCCUAUAAGACUGGGAUAACUUCGGGAAACCGGAGCUAAUACCGGAUAAUCCCUUUCCUCUCAUGAGGAAAGGCUGAAAGAUGGUUUACGCUAUCCCUUAUAGAUGGGCCCGCGGCGCAUUAGCUAGUUGGUGAGGUAACGGCUCACCAAGGCAACGAUGCGUAGCCGACCUGAGAGGGUGAUCGGCCACACUGGGACUGAGACACGGCCCAGACUCCUACGGGAGGCAGCAGUAGGGAAUCUUCCGCAAUGGACGAAAGUCUGACGGAGCAACGCCGCGUGAGUGAUGAAGGUUUUCGGAUCGUAAAACUCUGUUGUUAGGGAAGAACAAGUACGAGAGUAACUGCUCGUACCUUGACGGUACCUAACCAGAAAGCCACGGCUAACUACGUGCCAGCCGCCGCUGUAA
rnacentral:rRNA from 1 species